UUUGUGGGGAAUGUUGGCUGGCUCGAGGCAUCCGCGUCCUGGCUUGCAGAUCGUUUUGCCUGCUACCGGAAAGAUCGAGAGGCGUCGGACCAGGCUUCAUUCCUCGCAAA
rnacentral:pre_miRNA from 1 species